rnacentral:rRNA from 1 species
UAGGGAAUCUUCGGCAAUGGGGGGAACCCUGACCGAGCAACGCCGCGUGAGUGAAGAAGGUUUUCGGAUCGUAAAGCUCUGUUGUUAAGGAAGAACGAGUGUGAGAAUGGAAAGUUCAUACUGUGACGGUACUUAACCAGAAAGGGACGGCUAACUACGUGCCAGCAGCCGCGGUAAUACGUAGGUCCCGAGCGUUGUCCGGAUUUAUUGGGCGUAAAGCGAGCGCAGGCGGUUAGAUAAGUCUGAUGUGAAAGCCCCCGGCUCAACCAUUGUAGGCUUUGGAAACUGCUCAUCUUGAGGUAUGGAAGGGAAAGUGGAAUUCCUAGUGUAGCGGUGAAAUGCGCAGAUAUUAGGAGGAAUACCGGUGGCGAAGGCGACUUUCUGGCCAUAACCUGACGCUGAGGUACGAAAGCGUGGGUAGCAAACAGG